AGGGUGUAAACGCUGCAGACUUGGUGUUGGGAACCCCUUUCGGGGGUGGCUCAGUGCCGGAGAGAAGUUGUUAAGUCUGCUACUUGGGGAGGUACGUCCGCAAGGAUGAAACUUAAAAGGAAAUUGGCGGGGGGAGGCACCGCAACGGGAGGAGCGUGCGGUUUAAUUGGAUUCAACGCCGAAAAACUACACCAGCAGCGACUGUUACAUGAAAGUACAGGUUGAUGACCUUACUAGAUUUCUAGAGAGGAGGUGCAUGGCGUCAGUGACU
rnacentral:rRNA from 1 species